GCAUAUCAAUAAGCGGAGGAAAAGAAACUAACAAGGAUUCCCCUAGUAACUGCGAAGUGAAGCGGGAAAAGCUCAAAUUUAAAAUCUGGCGGUCUUUGGCCGUCCGAGUUGUAGUCUGGAGAAGUGCUUUCCGCGCUGGACCGUGUAUAAGUCUCUUGGAACAGAGCGUCAUAGAGGGUGAGAAUCCCGUCUUUGACACGGACUACCAGUGCUUUGUGAUGCGCUCUCAAAGAGUCGAGUUGUUUGGGAAUGCAGCUCAAAAUGGGUGGUGAAUUCCAUCUAAAGCUAAAUAUUGGCGAGAGACCGAUAGCGAACAAGUACCGUGAGGGAAAGAUGAAAAGCACUUUGGAAAGAGAGUUAAACAGUACGUGAAAUUGCUGAAAGGGAAACGCUUGAAGUCAGUCGCGUUGUCUGGGACUCAGCCUUGCUUUUGCUUGGUGCACUUUCCGGAUGACGGGCCAGCAUCGAUUUUGACCGUCGGAAAAGGGCUAGGGUAAUGUGGCACCUCCGGGUGUGUUAUAGACUUUAGUCGCAUACGGCGGUCGGGAUCGAGGAACGCAGCGCGCCGUAAGGCAGGGGUUCGCCCACUUUCGCGCUUAGGAUGCUGGCGUAAUGGCUUUAAACGACCCGUCUUGAAACACGGACCAAGGAGUCUAACAUACCUGCGAGUGUUUGGGUGGAAAACCCGAGCGCGUAAUGAAAGUGAAAGUUGAGACCUCUGUCGUGGAGGGCAUCGACGCCCGGACCUGACGUUCUCUGACGGAUCCGCGGUAGAGCAUGUAUGUUGGGACCCGAAAGAUGGUGAACUAUGCCUGAAUAGGGUGAAGCCAGAGGAAACUAUGGUGGAGGCUCGUAGCGAUUCUGACGUGCAAAUCGAUCGUCAAAUUUGGGUAUAGGGGGCGAAAGACUAAUCGAACCAUCUAGUAGCUGGUUCCUGCCGAA
rnacentral:rRNA from 1 species